rnacentral:rRNA from 1 species
UACGGAGGAUCCGAGCGUUAUCCGGAUUUAUUGGGUUUAAAGGGAGCGUAGGUGGAUUGUUAAGUCAGUUGUGAAAGUUUGCGGCUCAACCGUAAAAUUGCAGUUGAAACUGGCAGUCUUGAGUACGGUAGAGGUGGGCGGAAUUCGUGGUGUAGCGGUGAAAUGCUUAGAUAUCACGAAGAACUCCGAUUGCGAAGGCAGCUCACUGGACUGCAACUGACACUGAGGCUCGAAAGCGUGGGGAGCAAACAGG